UCUUUCUUGGUCUAGUGGUCAGGAUACCUGCUUGUCACAAUUGUCAAAUUGCUGCAAUUCGCAGGUGGCCGGGGUUCGAUUCCCCGAGAAAGAG